rnacentral:rRNA from 1 species
UACGUAGGGUGCAAGCGUUAAUCGGAAUUACUGGGCGUAAAGCGUGCGUAGUCGGUAUUGAGAGUCGCGGGUGAAAUCCCAGGGCUUAACCCUGGAACUGCCUGCGAGACCUCAGUACUAGAGUGUGAGAGGGGAUAGUGGAAUACCAAGUGUAGCGGUGAAAUGCGUAGAUAUCAGGAGGAACACCUGUGGCGAAAGCGGCUCACUGGACCAUAACUGACGCUGAUGCACGAAAGCUAGGGGAGCAAACAGG